GAAGAGAAACGCUGCGGGGUGCCGCGUGGACUUGUAGUCCCGCCUCUUAACCCCUCGCCCCAGGAACCUUAGCCCUGACACGACAGCAGGCAAUUGAUCGUGCUUAAGCGGAGAGAAAAAAAUAUUCCUGUAGAGGUCAUUGGAUGUAAAGGGUAGCACUGAUUUCAGUCAUUCUGAAAGGCCUCUGAAGUCACUGGGAUCGCAGACAUACAGUGGGCCAUCACUGAUCAAAACCUUGUUAUGCAGUACAUGACUGGUUCAAAUGCACGGUCAUCUGUUCGGGAAUACUUUAUCAAAUUCAACUUGUAUUUCAUCUUGAG